AUUGAACGCUGGCGGCAUGCCUUACACAUGCAAGUCGAACGGCAGCACGGAGCUUGCUCUGGUGGCGAGUGGCGAACGGGUGAGUAAUAUAUCGGAACGUACCCAAGAGUGGGGGAUAACGUAGCGAAAGUUACGCUAAUACCGCAUACGAUCUAAGGAUGAAAGCAGGGGACCUUCGGGCCUUGUGCUCCUGGAGCGGCCGAUAUCUGAUUAGCUAGUUGGUGAGGUAAAGGCUCACCAAGGCAUCGAUCAGUAGCUGGUCUGAGAGGACGACCAGCCACACUGGAACUGAGACACGGUCCAGACUCCUACGGGAGGCAGCAGUGGGGAAUUUUGGACAAUGGGGGCAACCCUGAUCCAGCAAUGCCGCGUGAGUGAAGAAGGC
rnacentral:rRNA from 1 species